AACAACUUGUGCCAUAUCCCGUGUCUCCCCUAAAGGCCCAUUCCAUUUGUUAUCGCUUCAUUUGAUCAAUCAUUCUCUUUCUUUCUUCUUGAAUUUGCCAGACAUUUAUCAGUGUGGAGCUGAUGUGUUCUAAGCACUGGGCAUAUGAAGAUGAAUACGGUGUGUGCUUUGCCUUGAACGGUCAUGACCCAGCUGAGCGGACAGGAGUGUAAACAGACUGAUGAUAACCAGGGAGAAAGCACUGAAUGAACUAUUCUGCAUCCUUUCACAAAGGAGGCGACGGAUGUGCUGAGUCUUCAAAGAUAGGUUUUCAGGGCGGUUUUGGCAGCCACAAAGCUGGUGACCGUUGGUCUGUAGCCUCACGUUUCCAACACAGAACACCAGAGAAGCCCACUGCCCAGUGACCCCCCAAGAGGCCACAGUGCCCUUGGGCUGCCUGGAGUGUCCCCUGCGUAGGCGUACCCCAAUGGAUAGACCUCUAGACUGCAUUGUUUAUCUAGUAUCCUGACAUGGUAGGUCCUCAGAAGCUUUGUGGACUGGGAGCGAAGAUAAUAUGAAAAGUGGAUUCAGAUCCCGAAGGUCCAGACCUCACAUGUCACCAAAGAGGAAGAUGAGCUAUUGUUUGAGUUGAUUAUGGGCACAAGACAGUGGUGGCUAAGCCGGACACACAGCAUGUGCUUCUGGCCUUCUGGCCGGAGAAAGUCCGCCUCACUGAGCAUGGAACAGUCUGUAAGCUCCUGAGUGGAUCUAGCUGUCCGUCCAGGACCUCUGCAGCCCCACAGCUGGCUGCCCAGGACUCUGUUUGCUUGCAUUCACUCUCAAAGUGGCCCCCGAAUGCACCUGUCCACUCGAUGCACAGGGAGAAACUCACCUUCAAGAGGCAUUCUCGGCCUGUCAUGGGGACGGCAUACUGCCGUCCUAAGUCGUGAAUGUGAGUUGGGGGAAGAAGAAAACCUCCUCUAAACUGAAAUCAUCAUUGCAGCACAGCUACAUAUUCUAUGUGACAGAUUUGGAGACUAACAGAAAUGGGCUAUGGAGGCAUGUUAAAACGUUAUGACCCCAAUAAAAAUGUCCCAUAGUUAUCAGCAUAAUAAAGCCAGGACACCAGGGGAGAACCCUCCUGAAAUCAGCCAGUGAGAAGAAACAUAACCAGAGGUUCAGUUUUGCAAACAAAGCAGGCUCUGGAAUCACAGUAGCCAACCCAGGCGGGAGAUGGGGGCAGGGACAGAUUCAUGGUCCUGUGGCCUGUGCAGCUGCACAAAACCCAGGUCUUGGAAAGGCUCCAGGCUUGGUUUAAUGCUCUACUGUUCUUGACUUGAAAAUCCUAACGAUUCGGAUAAGGGGACCCCACAUGUCCAUUUAUUUUGCAGUGGGUCCAGGAAAUCAUGUAACCUGUCCUGUGUGGAGGGGAUCAUGUGGUCAGAGCUGUGGUUCACGGUCAGAGAGCAGAGUUUUCCCAUGCACUAGGUCUGCUCCGAGACUGCUCUGUGCACACACAGUUUCCCUCAUCCAGUGGGAGAACCACAUGCACAUUAAUAUCCAAGUCAGAUCUAAGCUCUGGCGCCUCGUUAUCUCUUCUUCCAAUCCAGUUGUCACUAGACCUGUAGUUUCUAUCUCCUACUAUAUUGAAAUCUAUUCCCUCCUCUCUGUUUCCCCUGCUAAUGGUUUCCUUCAUCUUAGAAGAGAUCAACAAAAUUAAGACCUGGGCUUUUGAAAAGAUAUAUAAAAUUGAGAAACCUUUAGCUAAGUUUACCAUAAAAAAAGAGAACUCAAAAUUAUAACUGAAAAGGAGAAUCAUUACAACUGAUAACAUAGAAAUACAAAUGAUGAAAGAGACUAUGAACAAUUACAUGCCAGCAAAUUGGACAACCUUGGACAAAUGGAUAAAUUCCCAGAAACAUGCAACCUACUAAGGCUGAAUACUGAAGAAAGAGAAAAUUUGAAUUGACCUGUAACUAGUAAGGAUAUUGAAUCAAUUAUCAAAAAUCUGCCAAUAGAGAAAAAAAGUCCAGGACCAGAUGGUUUCAUGUGUGACUUCUACCAAAUAUUUAAAGA